UUGAAGGAGGCAGUCCCUAAGGCAACGCGAUCUAAAACGUGGAAGUUUUUUUUUCUAUUUUUAAUAGUUUCUUACGGAUAGGAGGCUCGUGUGAGCGUUUAGCCUGUCCUGUCCUUAAUUCUGAACCCACUGGCUGGUGCAGAAGGACGGUCGUGUGACAAAAACAGCAUGAAAUUUGUCCCUGUGCCGGCUGCGUCCCGUGGUAAAGGAGUACAUCUGUUAUUCCUGCGUGAAAGAUGUUUGAUGAGCGUACCGCAUCGUCAGAGCUGCUCUUGGUCUGCCUGCAAGCCGUGGGUUAUGAUUUAGAAAUACGUUCGCCUACCGUUCCUUAACUGUGUGGUUUUGGUUUUUAUUUUUUCAAAGAAAGGGUGGCUUUUUCGUCGAUCUCUUUGUGAGAGUAUCAAAUCAGGCGGCGGUAAAUACGUAGAAGCAACUAGGCGUACUACGGCGUGUACCGGACAGCGUUGGCGUGCCGCUCUGCUAGCAGCGGAGAGCCAGAUGAGGAUGCCCGUGAUAUGAGAAAAGCUCUGUCCAGAGAUAUGGAGACGAAAUCAGUUGUACCUCACCCUGUGACACCGGAAGACAUUGAGCCGCGCUGAGGACGUGGUUGCCCGUCCCUCCCUUGGGGAUGCCGUCGACUGCACCCGCCUCGCCUGUGCCUGGCCUGGCUCGCCUCGUGGCGUGGGGGCGAAAAGGGACAGGCGGCGGAGCGCUUACCGGCCGUGGACAGCAGCUGCCCUAAGGGAAGCUGGAAUGGCCAGAGAAAGGUGAAGAAGAAGAAGAAGAGAUGGAAGGC